UACCGAGUGUAGGGUUCCUAGCGAGCCCAACCUCCCACCCGUGUUUACUGUACCUUAGUUGCUUCGGCGGGCCCGCCAUUCAUGGCCGCCGGGGGCUCUCAGCCCCGGGCCCGCGCCCGCCGGAGACACCACGAACUCUGUCUGAUCUAGUGAAGUCUGAGUUGAUUGUAUCGCAAUCAGUUAAAACUUUCAACAAUGGAUCUCUUGGUUCCGGCAUCGAUGAAGAACGCAGCGAAAUGCGAUAACUAGUGUGAAUUGCAGAAUUCCGUGAAUCAUCGAGUCUUUGAACGCACAUUGCGCCCCCUGGUAUUCCGGGGGGCAUGCCUGUCCGAGCGUCAUUGCUGCCCAUCAAGCACGGCUUGUGUGUUGGGUCGUCGUCCCCUCUCCGGGGGGGACGGGCCCCAAAGGCAGCGGCGGCACCGCGUCCGAUCCUCGAGCGUAUGGGGCUUUGUCACCCGCUCUGUAGGCCCGGCCGGCGCUUGCCGAACGCAAAUCAAUCUUUUUCCAGGUUGACCUCGGAUCAGGUAGGGAUACCCGCUGAACUUAAGCAUA
rnacentral:rRNA from 1 species